AGGUGGCGGGCGGCGGGACCGGCCCGGGCGGCGCGAAGGGUCCGCAGCAGCAGCGCGGCCAUGGCGGGCUCGGCGCUCCCUCACGGCGCGGCCGUGACGGCACCGCUGCGCGCCGGGGCCGCCCUCAGCCCUCCUUCCCUCAGCCCGCCCUCAGCCCUCCUUCCCUCAGCCCUCUUUCCCUCAGCCCGCCCGCGGCCUGGCCGGGCCGCCGCCGCUUUGGGCAGAAUUGCCGCAGGAACGGGAACGGAGCCGCCCAGGGGUCCGCCCGCCCCACCUGCCACGGCCCUGCCCGGUCACCCAGCAGCAGCUACAGACGAUGAACCGGAUAAUGUAAUAAUAAUGAUAAAAUAAUAAUGAAUAAUAUUUUUUGACACGCAUAGGAUGUCUUAGAAUCGCCUUCCUGAACCCGAAGCAUCGGUGUAGGGCGGGGUGGGAACACGCUGACCUGCUGCAGGCGGGGGAGCACCGGGUGGAUGUGCUGAACACACUGAGCUGAUGGAACGGCCACAAAAGCUCCAUCAAAGCCUAAUUCCUCCUAAUGCGAGUGUCUGGCUCGGGAGGAGGAGGAUGGCAGCACCGACAGCCCUCACCCGAGCGGCCCCGCUCGCUCAGUGUCCCACAGCGGCCGAGACACACCCCCAGGACGGUGCCUUGCGGCGAACGCUGCCCUGCACCGAGGAUACUUGGAUUUGUACUUCUUUGCUCCCCCCUGCCGUGCCUUUGGCAGCAGGUUUUGUCUUUUUUACAAACCCAAGUGCCAAAGCCAUGUGAAAUUACUGAGCUUGUCACCCGACACUGAAAUCUGCUUCAGAAACACUCACCGCUCCCCUCCUGACAGAGGGCACCGCUCAGCUCUGCUGCAUCACCACCCACCGUGCUGCUCUCACCUGCUCACCCACACAGAAGGGCCUUCUGAAUCAUUUGUUUGAAAUAUUUAAGUGUUUUAAAGGCUGCCUUUACUCUCUUGAAGCUGCCCUCAGUUUGCUUUGGUCUGUGAGGAACUGCACAAUGCUCGGGAUGUAACAAAAUGGCAUUUACCAGAAGGGCAAGUACUAAAGGUAAACACAGGCCUAAUGAGGUCAUUUAUCUUGCUUAGUUUACUUGUGACUUGUAAAAUGUAAAUCCUUUAAUCCUGUAAUCCAAAUCAGUUGCCUUUUUGGUUGCCUCUCAGGGCCUGUAUUGCAACUGGGGAACAGGAAGGACUGAGGGUGAGGCAGCUUUGCUCCCUGCUGGGUUUUUGUGUCUGUGUAUCUGUCUUCCCACCGCGGGACCCCCAGUCCUGAGCACUGCAGGCAUGUCAGGGUGUGCCAGAGCCCUGCACACGCUGGGCAGGUGCUGAGCCAGAGGGGUCACACAGGUGUGUGACACGGAGCCAGAGGGGUCACACAGGUGUGUGACACGGAGCCAGAGGGGUCACACAGGUGUGUGACACGGAGCCAGAGGGGUCACACAGGUGUGUGACACGGAGCCAGAGGGGUCACACAGAGCCGUCACACACGUGUGUAACACUGAGCCAGAGGGGUCACACAGAGUAAUCACACACGUGUGUAACACCGAGCCAGAGGUGACACACACAGGGGUCACACACGUGUGUAACACCGAGCCAGAGGGAUCAUACAGGUGUUUAAAACCGAGCCAGAGGUACCACACACGUGUGUCACACUGCACCUCUGGGAGCAGGUGAGACAUGGUACUGGUUUGAUGGGAGUCAGCCAGUGUUGAGUCCAAACCUCUGUGGAACUGUGAGGGCACAAAGCAUCUCAGCCAGAAGGGUUUUUCUUUUCACAGACUCCUUGAUCCCAUGAAUUGUAACUAUUAACUGGGGACAAGAUGAAACUGCUGAGUGCUUGUUUUGUGACAGCCUCUUGAAGGGUAAUUUUUGACAAUCUGUGCCAACUCCCUGUCUCUGUACGAAACAUGAGUGCCUUAUUUGUGAGAGAAGAGCCAGCCCCCUUGGCCUGCCCUUUGAUGAGGGCAAUAGAUGGGAAAGGCUCCCUGCAGGACCCUGCUUCUCCGUAAGAUUCCAAUAUUGGCACAGUUGUGUGGUUACAGGAAUACAGGCAUAAUGGAUCCCGAGCUUUUCAUCUCCACAUGUUCACUGCUGGUUAAGUAAUGUUGUCCUACUUCUAGUUUUGAAGGGUGGAAAAGCAGAAGGUGAUAUCUAGUCCUAUCAGAAAAGAAAGGAAUGGGGAGCACUGAGCUGACUCCAGCAUUGUGCAAUCUGUGGGGUGCACUGAUAACAUGCCACUGCCUCUUGAGGUGCUGGUAUCUGUAGUUGGUUGAUGGCAUGGACAGUAAGGGCAAAAGCCUGCUCAGGCUCAUGACACACGGGGUUAACUGAGCAGAGGCCUCCCCAUAGGAUGUCACUGAGGGGACCCUGUCUGGCACUGUGGUGAAAUGGUGGAGUGCUGAAGACAAGGGAUGCCCCACCAGUGCCACAUCUCAGUUCUGGACAGACAACACUGUCCGGGGGGUCAGGAGAAGGUGUGAGUUCCACAACUCCUCCCAGACUGAAUAUGCUAAGGAUGAAAGGGCCAAAGCUGAGGCCACCUUUACUGAGACAAGUCUAACUGGUUCUGGUUUGUACAAAGGGGGUGAUCUGGCAACUUUGAAAGAAAGGAUAAACAGUGCACAGUAAAAGGCUGCUUGAAGAAAAUCAUCCAGUGAAAACAAGGCUAGGCAGUUGGGAAACAGGGAAAAGAUGCCUCAUCAGGAAGUUCAAAAGAACUGAAGCAGCAGCCAGCACACUCCACCCCGUGUGAAUGGGAUUCUGAGCAUAUCCUAAACAAACACCUGGGUGUUUUUCAAUCCCAGUGGAUGAUAUCAUACCCAUAUAUGAAACCACAAGCAGACCAUCACUUGCACAGAGAGAAUACUUUAUGUUCCUGCACUGACACAAAUGGUGCCACACCACACAUUUUGUCCCAUCCAUGCAGCAAUUCCCAGUGUUGUGUGUGAGCAGAGUUGGAAGCACACUCCUGGCAGCUGCAGCUCUCUGCAAGUGUCUGUAACACCGAAUCCCACCACCGUGACCUGUAAUGUCUUCAAGCUGCACUGCACAGAACCGCACAGUCUGCUAAAAUUAAAAAAAGUACUUUUUCCCUUCUGCUUCAGCAACAUGUCCAGUCUUUUUCUUUCCCCGCUUUUAUUUACAGCUCAUCUCUGCUGUCUCUGACACUCAGCUAUUCAUCCACAUGUUCACAUCACUCCAGCUUCCCUUCCUGGGCCAGUGAAUCUCUCAGCCAUUACAGCUCUUCAGAACUCACAUUUUGUGAUCAACACGACUCCCACAGUGUUUAUUUCAGUUUAUUCCACACAAAGUGCUUUCUUGAGAAGGAAUUAAUACAAGGGAGACAGAGAUCAGUAAAUGAGGAUCAUACAAUCACCCUUCAGUUUUCCUUUUUACUCUUCCAUAUUUUUCCAGCAGCUGCUUAAAAACUGGUAUUCAAUAAUAUAAUCACCUGAUAACAUUUAGCUCCUUGAAACACGGAUGCUUUACUUACUGAAAAAGUGCCACUGUAGGUCUAAAUUACUUUAUAAAAAUAUUCACCAGUCUUGGCUGCAAUUGCAGGAAAACACACACAGCUCCUCCUCUGUCUAUGCAAUCGUUCGCUCCUUUUCAACAGACAGAUGGUAUGAAAGUUUUGCACUUGACAUUCAUAGUUGCCUUUCCCACAGGCAUGUGAUGAUGUGCUCAUUGCAUCACCCCCCUGUCUCUGAAUAUUUAAAAAAACCCCUGCCUCACAAAUGAAAUCCUGGGAAAGGUGAGAGCAGGAACUGGUAUUUCCACUCUUGCUCCUGGUUACAUGCUGUGGAAGCAAAGUGAUGUGUUUGAAACACACAUAUUAACACUGUCACUGUAGGAAUACAUCUGUCCAAGCUGUUGUGCAUCCAGAAUGACUGUACUGUGGCUGUCUUAAAAA